UUAAUUUAACUGCAUUUACUCACUCUAUAUACAAAUGUAUUUGAUAUUUAAAUAAGUAAUUUGUAUUAUAUAUUCUCCUGUCCAUUUUGCAGAUAAGGAACCUGAGUCUCUUUUAUGUAGCAAUAACAAAAUACCUGCUCUCGGAUAAUAUAGAAAGAAGAGGGGUUUUUAGCUCAUGAUUCUGGUGGCUGAAAAUCCACACACUGUGGCAGUGGCAUCUGAUUGCUUCACAACAUGGCAGUGGCGUCACACGAAGGGAGUGAUUGUGACAGCGAGCAGUCCCACGGGAAGAGAGGAACUAGAGAGUGGGAAGGACCCGAAUCACCCUUUCGUAGCAACCUGCUCUCACGGAACUAACCUCCUCCUGCAAGACCCAGCCCUCUCCGCGAGACCAGCCGUGCUCUGCUCUUCCGCGGUGACCAUAACCCGAGCACCUUCUGUUUGGCCUCAUUUCUCAAAGGUCCCGUCACCUCUCAAUACCGUGGCGCUGGGACCAGGCCUCCAGGACAUGAGCCUUUGGGAGGCAAAUCACUUCCACACCACAGCACGGUAUCAAGUUCCGUACGACAAAUAUCGGGAAAUACUUCAUAAAUGCAAUCAUUUAAGGGCUAGACUGCAUGGUGCCAGUGGGUCAGCACAUCAAAACAAGGAAGAGUUGUCAAA
rnacentral:lncRNA from 1 species